UGCCAGGCAGCGCCUGCCACAGUGUCUGAAAGCAGGCGAAGCAUUUGUUAAAGUGCUAGAGAAAUCCCUUUAGACCCAGUACAAUGGAGACCCAGCUGCUCUCGGAAGAGCCAGGCUUUCAACUGUUUUGUUUUCCCAGCCCUGGCUCCUGCCGCCAAAUUGACAGGCACGCAAUAGCUUAGGGGGCGCAGAGUUCAAGGCCCCGCGGAUCUGUCGGACAAGAACAAAAAGAUGCAACUUGAUCUCUCUUUCUCUCUAGGCUAAUCACUCGGGUGAGCUUUUCCUUAGGAUUAUUAUUCUAUUAUAAAUCCAGAUGCUUCAAGCCAAUCAACUGCUACCUUUCUUAGAAUGUACAAAGUAGGUCAGCGUUGGUCUAUCAGGGUGCACGGCCUCUGAACGAGUGCCACAGGCCGUGUGAAUAAUUAAAUCGACAUGUCCCUGGAGCAGCACUGCAACAGGAGAGCAUUUUCUCUCCCUGGGAGAUGGUCAGCGACUAGAAGAAAGAGGAAGCCCAAGUGUCCCCCUGUAGGAGCACCAAGAGGCAGCUGCUCCCAUGGAUGAGAAGCCUGGAAAAGAUCAGGAGUUACCCACCACCUUGCACAAAGAUGCGUGUGCUGGGGUUUUCAUCGGCUAUAAAGAGCUAAAGGUUCUCAGGGGAAAACCUGCCACUCCUGGCUAAUGAGGUCCCGGCAGAUGACAAUGUGAAAAAUAAGACAAAGAAGGCCAGCCUGCCCUCUGAGAGGCUGGUAGACAGUGUGGUGACAGCAUGGCAUCUGACCUUAGACUGAAGGUCUCCCAAGUGGAGACAGGAGCCAGAAAGCUACAAUUUUGGGCGCGACGCUCGAGCACACUACAGAAUUGACCCCAGCAGGGACCCCGGUGGUAAUCAGAGUCCUGUUGGUGGUAAAUACUAUGGCCUCUCUUAUAUUACAGCUGGGAGUAUUCAUUGUUACAAUCAGUUGGGAAGAUAAUUUGGUGGCCUAUCCUAAAGCUGAGCGCAUGUACCCCUAUGACCCAGCAAUUCUACUCCUAGGAAUGUGCUCGACAGAUAUGUGAUCAUACAUUUGCUGAAAGAUGUACAAGAACAUUCACAGCAACGGUAUUAUUGGCAUUGAUAAUGCCAAUAUGUGGUACAUCAAACAAUAAAGCAGUGAAAGUGAAUAAGUUCAACAUGAAUGAAUUUCACAAAAAUAAUACUGAGCAAAGGAAGCUAAUGCAAAGGUACAAACCACUUAAUUUUAUUUAUAUAAACAGCCAGGACCAAUCUAUGGUGAAUAUACCUAAAAUCAUGGACUUCUAUACUUUAGUUACUUACUUACUUACUUACUUAACUGUAUGAUGUCUGAAUUAUAUCUCAAUUAUGCUGU